UACGAAGGGAGCUAGCGUUGUUCGGAAUCACUGGGCGUAAAGCGCACGUAGGCGGAUGUGUCAGUCAGGGGUGAAAUCCCGGAGCUCAACUUCGGAACUGCCCUUGAUACAGCACGUCUUGAGUCCGGAAGAGGUGGGUGGAAUUCCUAGUGUAGAGGUGAAAUUCGUAGAUAUCAGGAAGAACACCCGUGGCGAAGGCGGCUCUCUGGGACGGUACUGACGCUGAGACGCGAAAGCGUGGGGAGCGAACAGG
rnacentral:rRNA from 1 species